AACUGUAAUAACUCUAGAGCUAAUACAUGCCACGAUGCCCUGACCCUUACGGGGAUGGGUGCACUUAUUAGAUCAGAAGCCAACCGUGCAUGACUGCCUCUCCGGGUGGUUGUGUGCGUUGACCUUCUGGUGACUCUGGAUAAUUGUUACAGAUCGCAGUCGGCCUUGAGUCGGCGACGGGUCCUUCAAAUGUCUGCCCUAUCAACUUUCGAUGGUAGGUGACCUGCCUACCAUGGUGAUAACGGGUAACGGGGAAUCAGGGUUCGAUUCCGGAGAGGGAGCCUGAGAAACGGCUACCACUUCCAAGGGAGGCAGCAGGCGCGCAAAUUACCCACUCCCAGUACGGGGAGGUGGUGACGAAAAAUACCGAUGCGGGACUCCUUAACGAGGCUCCGUAAUCGGAAUGAGUGAACUAUAAAUCCUUUCACGAGGAUCAAUUGGAGGGCAAGUCUGGUGCCAGCAGCCGCGGUAACUCCAGCUCCAAUAGCGUAUAUUAAAGUUGCUGCAGUUAAAAAGCUCGUAGUUGGAUCUCGGUAUCACUGUCGCGCGCCAGUCCUCUGGUUAGCGGUUGCAGCAUUGCGCACGCGUCCAUGUGUCGUAGUUGUCGCGGUGGUGCGGCCGUCUGGCUGGAGUUGGCGAUGUGGUGGUGUCACCUUUCAGCCAUGUCUGUGGUGAAAUACCCGCAGGUGUAGGCGAGUGUCAGGCGGUGCCUAGCGCAAGUUGGGCUCGUCGGCUCGUCUGCAUGCCUUUGGAUGCCCUUCAAAAGGUGUCUGUUGGCGGAUGGCACGUUUACUUUGAACAAAUUUGAGUGCUCAAACCAGGCCGAUGUUGCCUGAAAAGUUUUGCAUGGAAUAAUGGAAUAGGACUUCGGUUCUAUUUCGUUGGUUUUCGGAUCCGAAGUAAUGAUCAAAAGAGACAGGCGGGGACGUUUGUAUGGCUGCGCUAGAGGUGAAAUUCAUGGACCGUAGCCAGACAAACUAAAGCGAAAGCAUUCGUCAAGCAUGUUUUCAUUGGCCAUGAGCGAAAGUCAGAGGCUCGAAGACGAUCAGAUACCGUCCUAGUUCUGACCAUAAACGAUGCCAACUGACGAUCCGUGGUGGUAGUUCAUC
rnacentral:rRNA from 1 species